AUGACACUUUCCACAUGGGCACCAAGCAACACUGACAGUACUGUUUGGGAAGCACUUCAGAGAUGUGAACGAGAUAGAUGCAUGCUGACAAGCCCAGUACUGGGGCUGACUGGACACACAGAGGCGGAUCAUGCAGCUCACAAUCUCAGGGCAGGGGGAGACAAACACAAUCCCCAGAAGAUCACUGCCUCGGAGCCCCGGCCUAGCUCAUCUACCUCCAGCAGCUCCUGGGCUACAGAUCUGCAUCGCAAAAAUCAAACCGAGGCAGAACUGGGUAUUUCAGGGAAUUUUUGUAUCCAGCUUCUCUUGCAGGGCCCCUGAAUGGUCUGUAAAAUGGAUGGACUCCCAGUUGCAGAGACAGGCACUGGGCAAGGCGUCAGGGUGUGUGCACUGAAAUGGCUGGUUUCCUGGUUUCAGUCUGGAUGAGCCAGUAGCGGCUAUGAAUGAGACUGGAAGAGGCGGCCCAUGUGAGAACAUCUUUCAAUCAGAAUGUGCUGUACAGUGGGAGGGCCAGAGCUCGUUUUGGUCACCAAAAUUAACUUUUUCACUAGUUAGAUCUGCCAGUUCAUUUUAUCCCGUGCACUGAAACUUUAAAGUGGUGUUCUCAGGAACUACGUUUGGUCAGGAAAGGAGAAAUCAUAGAAGCCAAUUACAUCCUCACAGGCCUCUUCCUUCCAGGAGAAUGACUUUACCAUCUUGGCUUUUGCACAUGACAUUAGCCAACAUGGAAAAGCAGGCUGUUCUGACCUCAUGUCAUCAUCCAUCUUCACUGGGGACUGGGCCACUGGGUAUUUUGUUUUUCCUUAAGUCAUAACUAGUGUACCUCAACGUUUAAUAGAAUUCAUCCCCUCUUACUCCAUGAAGGGACCAUCAUUUGUUGAAAAUUGCUAGAAAUACGGCUGGGCACAGUGGCUCAUGCCUGUAAUUAAACCGAGGCAGAACUGGGUAUUUCAGGGAAUUUUUGUACCCAGCUUCUCUUGCAGGGCCCCUGAAUGGUCUGUAAAAUGGAUGGACUCCCAGUUGCAGAGACAGGCAUUGGGCAAGGCACCAGGGUGUGUGCACUUUGGGAGGCCGAGGCGGGUGGAUCACAAGGUCAGGAGAUCGAGACCAUCCUGGUUAAUAUGGUGAAACCUCGUCUCUAGUAAAAAUAGAAAAAGUUAGCUAGGCGCUGUGGUGGGUGCCUGUAGUCCCAGGUACUCGGGAGGCUGAGGCAGGAGAAUGGCAUGAACCCGGGAGGCGGAGCUUGCAGUGAGCUGAGAUGGCACCACUGCACUCCAGCCUGGGUGACAGCGAGACUCCGUUUCAAAAAAAUAAAAAAAUAAAUAAAAAAAAGAAAGUUGCUAGAAAUUAUAAAUACCUUUGAAACCUUCAAUUGGUUGUGAUGAUGUGUCCCUUUAAGUUUUGUAUGAGUGUCCUCAAAGUCAAGUCAGUCCAAUGUCUUCAAGGAAAGUGAGUGCCCAGAGUCAUGACAAGGAAUGGAGAAACUCAUCAGCUGGAGAUCUGGGUCUGGCCAACAGGGUAACUUCUGGACUUUUCAGAAAAACUGAGAAUCCGAGAGUUUCAAAGGAUUUAUUUGAUUUCCCCACAUGAUCACAACCAUGGUUUUACAUUGAUAGAGUCUGUUACCACUGACAAACAGAAUGCAGAUGAACACAAACGCACUCCUUCCCUCCCACAGGUACACAGUGGGGGUGCCAGGUUUCUUGUGAGGGAGGUGUCCCUUGAAGUCUCUGAACAGUCUGGGGAUUCAGGACCUGAUUCUAAUUGCUUAAAACAACUCAGAGGCAAAAGUUAUCUCCCAAGAGGAGACACAUGCUGUGUGCAGUCUCAAUGUGACUCCACACAGAAGGGCGACGCGGAUGCGUCUGACUGGAGGGCAGGCCUCCUCCCACUUGUCCUGUGCUCAGCACCCCCACCUCACCCUGCUCAGUGUUGCAAUGCUGCCUUGACUAUUGUUGUUAUAUAAAAUACAAAUGCACUCGUUUCUCAGGCAGGAAGGGUGAUGAUAUUUUACAAGGAGAACUAUAAGACUGUGCGUGCUUACCUGCGGGCACAGAGCUUCCCGUGGAGCUGAGUCAACGCCCAGCAUUAGCUGUGAACAUCUGCUGUCUUUUCAGCUCAUUGUUAAGAAAAACAAGAGGCUCGUGCCACAUGCAGUGUGUGAGGGAAACAUCACUCUGCACUGGAUGCUGAAGACGUUUUUAAGCAAGAUGUGCACAUCAUAUUAGGAUGAACUUUAUUUUUACAUUGUUGUACAAUUCAUUGGUAAACUUAAAAAAAUACAAAUACAUGAUUUGAUUGUUGUCCCAGGAAAGACUUUUGUCACAUUGCCAGCUGUUUCCCUCAGCGUCUCCUGCUCCUGUCAGCAAUUCUGUAUGUAACUACAAUAGUUUGUGUGACUUGAGAAAGGUGUGCCGAGGGCGUCCUCACAGUGAGAAGGGACCAGGCAGACAUCCUGGGGCCCUUGGCCUCCUUCUGCCUCCCCUCCUGUGGGAUGUGAUGACAGGACCCCGAAGCUAUGGCAGUAACAGGUGGGGAUGGAGAGGGGACAGUCCCAUGAAAGACACACGGGGACACCAGCUCACUGGGAGCUUUCGCUUCCCAAACAAGAUGUGGGCAGCAUGACUCCAGCCUUCAGAAUCCAACAAUGUAUCUUCCACAAACUUUUGAUAAGCUUGCAAAUAAAAUAGGAUGAAACCUCACUGGCCUGAAGGAGCACACAGUGUGGCUGGAAACCCCAGGAGGGACUCA
rnacentral:lncRNA from 1 species